AUCCCGACUUACCAACCCGAUGCAAACUGCGAAUACCGGAGAAUGUUAUCACGGGAGACACACGGCGGGUGCUAACGUCCGUCGUGAAGAGGGAAACAACCCAGACCGCCAGCUAAGGUCCCAAAGUCAUGGUUAAGUGGGAAACGAUGUGGGAAGGCCCAGACAGCCAGGAUGUUGGCUUAGAAGCAGCCAUCAUUUAAAGAAAGCGUAAUAGCUCACUGGUCGAGUCGGCCUGCGCGGAAGAUGUAACGGGGCUAAACCAUGCACCGAAGCUGCGGCAGCGACACUAUGUGUUGUUGGGUAGGGGAGCGUUCUGUAAGCCUGUGAAGGUGUACUGUGAGGUAUGCUGGAGGUAUCAGAAGUGCGAAUGCUGACAUAAGUAACGAUAAAGCGGGUGAAAAGCCCGCUCGCCGGAAGACCAAGGGUUCCUGUCCAACGUUAAUCGGGGCAGGGUGAGUCGACCCCUAAGGCGAGGCCGAAAGGCGUAGUCGAUGGGAAACAGGUUAAUAUUCCUGUACUUGGUGUUACUGCGAAGGGGGGACGGAGAAGGCUAUGUUGGCCGGGCGACGGUUGUCCCGGUUUAAGCGUGUAGGCUGGUUUUCCAGGCAAAUCCGGAAAAUCAAGGCUGAGGCGUGAUGACGAGGCACUACGGUGCUGAAGCAACAAAUGCCCUGCUUCCAGGAAAAGCCUCUAAGCAUCAGGUAACAUCAAAUCGUACCCCAAACCGACACAGGUGGUCAGGUAGAGAAUACCAAGGCGCUUGAGAGAACUCGGGUGAAGGAACUAGGCAAAAUGGUGCCGUAACUUCGGGAGAAGGCACGCUGAUAUGUAGGUGAAGCGACUUGCUCGUGGAGCUGAAAUCAGUCGAAGAUACCAGCUGGCUGCAACUGUUUAUUAAAAACACAGCACUGUGCAAACACGAAAGUGGACGUAUACGGUGUGACGCCUGCCCGGUGCCGGAAGGUUAAUUGAUGGGGUUAGCGGUAACGCGAAGCUCUUGAUCGAAGCCCCGGUAAACGGCGGCCGUAACUAUAACGGUCCUAAGGUAGCGAAAUUCCUUGUCGGGUAAGUUCCGACCUGCACGAAUGGCGUAAUGAUG
rnacentral:rRNA from 1 species